UACAGAGGUCUCAAGCGUUGUUCGGAAUUACUGGGCGUAAAGCGAGUGUAGGUGGUUGUCGUAGUCAGGCGUGAAAGCCUUGAGCUCAACUCAAGAAAUGCGCUUGAUACUGGGCAGCUAGAGGACCGGAGAGGAUAGUGGAAUUCCCAGUGUAGUGGUGAAAUACGUAGAGAUUGGGAAGAACACCAGUGGCGAAGGCGGCUAUCUGGACGGUUUCUGACACUAAGACUCGAAAGCGUGGGGAGCAAACAGG
rnacentral:rRNA from 1 species